UACGUAGGGGGCUAGCGUUGCUCGGAAUUACUGGGCGUAAAGGGCGCGUAGGCGGCACGAUUAGUCAGGCGUGAAAUUCCUGGGCUCAACCUGGGGACUGCGCUUGAUACGGUCGAGCUAGAGGAUGGAAGAGGGUCGCGGAAUUCCCAGUGUAGAGGUGAAAUUCGUAGAUAUUGGGAAGAACACCAGUGGCGAAGGCGACUCUCUGGACCGUUUCUGACGCUAAGGCUCGAAAGCGUGGGUAGCAAACAGG
rnacentral:rRNA from 1 species